GUGCCAGCCGCCGCGGUAAGACAGAGGCCUCAAGCGUUAGGCGGAAUCACUGGGCUUAAAGCGUGUGUAGGCGGAUCGUUAAGUGCCUUGUGAAAUCCCACGGCUCAACCGUGGAACUGCUGGGCAUACUGGCGGUCUUGAGCUAUCUAGGGGCGACUGGAACAGACGGUGGAGCGGUGAAAUGCGUAGAUAUCGUCUGGAACGCCAAAGGUGAAAACAGGUCGCUGGGGAUAUGCUGACGCUGAGACACGAAAGCCAGGGGAGCAAACGGGAUUAGAUACCCGUGUAGUCC
rnacentral:rRNA from 1 species